GGGAGCGGUCAUCCCUCCCACGGCUAUAUCUGGCGCGAGCGCCCAUCCACCCCAAGCGCCAUAUGGCUUGACCCGCCCGGUUGUCCCCCCGGGCGGGUC
rnacentral:sRNA from 1 species